GACGAACGCUGGCGGCGCGCCUAACACAUGCAAGUCGAACGAGCGAGCGAGAGCUUGCUUUCUUGAGCGAGUGGCGAACGGGUGAGUAACGCGUGAGGAACCUGCCUCUAAGAGGGGGACAACAGUUGGAAACGACUGCUAAUACCGCAUAAGCUCACGGUACCGCAUGGCACCGAGGGAAAAGGAGCAAUCCGCUUUGAGAUGGCCUCGCGUCCGAUUCGCUAGUAGGUGAGGUAACGGCCCACCAAGGCGACGAUCGGUAGCCGGACAGAGAGGUUGAACGGACACAUUGGGACUGAGAAACAGCCCAGAAUCCUACGGGAGGCAGGAGUGGGGAAUAUUGCAAAAUGGGGGGAGCGAUGAUGCAGCGACGACGCGUGAAGGAAGAAGGUCGGCGGAUUGUAAACUCCUGUUGUUGGGGAAGAUAAUGACGGUACCCAACAAGGAAGUGACGGCUAACUACGUG
rnacentral:rRNA from 1 species